GACAGAGGGGGCAAGCGUUGCUCGGAAUUACUGGGCGUAAAGGGCGCGUAGGCGGGAUGGCAAGUCGGUCGUGAAAUCCCUCGGCUCAACCGAGGAACGUCGAUCGAUACUGCUGUUCUUGAGGAUUGCAGAGGAGACUGGAAUUCCCGGUGUAGUGGUGAAAUGCGUAGAGAUCGGGAGGAACACCAGUGGCGAAGGCGGCUACCUGGACCAGCACUGACACUGAGGCACGAAAGCGUGGGGAGCAAACAGG
rnacentral:rRNA from 1 species